CUAUUGGGAAGCUAAGCAUAAGAAUCAAUAUGAAACAAUGCCAAUAAAUGAAUAAAUUAUUUUUCAGAUUGAAGUUAUAAAGGGCUCUGGGGUGUUUUGUCAGGCAGAAGUGUGGAAAGCAGCCCUCCUUGCCACCUCUGCUACUGCCAUGGUGUGGAAUCUGCUGCUGGGCACAUUUGAUCUGGAGACUUUGCUGAAAAACAACCUGAAUGGUGGGAAGCCAACCAGAGGGGAUGGGGAGCAGCUGGUCGCCCUUGACCAAAUUAAAAAGGCAUCAUUAUUGAUGCUACAUUGAAGAAGUGUCCGUCAGCCAGCCGAGGGGAGAUGGGCACGUCUAUCAAUUCAAAGCUCAUGGAGCUGAGAAGAUCAAAAAGAUUUUUUUUCUAUCCAGUUUUUUUGUCUUAUUUUUGUUUUUGUACUAUUUGAUCUUAAGUAAAUAAAUAAU